AGACCAAAAAAAACACGAAAAGUUCCUGCAGAACGUCUUCUUGAGGAUAAAAAGAAAGAGGAGCCUGUAUUAUGUGAACCACAAACUAGUGCAACGUCUGUUGAAUAUUCUCCAUGCAAGCAACAGCUGAAGCGAAAGCUGCAUAAAGCU